AGGGGUACAGCUCAGUAGUAGAGUGUGUGCUUAGUAUGCACGAGGUCCUGGGUCCAAUCCCCAGUACCACCA
rnacentral:tRNA from 1 species